UACAGAGGGUGCGAGCGUUAAUCGGAUUUACUGGGCGUAAAGCGUGCGUAGGCGGCUUCUUAAGUCGGAUGUGAAAUCCCUGAGCUUAACUUAGGAAUUGCAUUCGAUACUGGGAAGCUAGAGUAUGGGAGAGGAUGGUAGAAUUCCAGGUGUAGCGGUGAAAUGCGUAGAGAUCUGGAGGAAUACCGAUGGCGAAGGCAGCCAUCUGGCCUAAUACUGACGCUGAGGUACGAAAGCAUGGGGAGCAAACAGG
rnacentral:rRNA from 2 species